rnacentral:rRNA from 1 species
UACAGAGGUCUCAAGCGUUGUUCGGAUUCAUUGGGCGUAAAGGGUGCGUAGGCGGCAUGGUAAGUCGGACGUGAAAUCUUGAGGCUCAACCCCAAGACUGCGUUCGAUACUGCUGUGCUUGAAGACUGAAGAGGGGAUUGGAAUUCACGGUGUAGCAGUGAAAUGCGUAGAUAUCUGAAGGAACACCAGUGGCGAAAGCGGCUUCCUGGUCCAGUACCGACGUUCAGGCACGAAAGCGUGGGGAGCAAACAGG